CCUACGGGAGGCAGCAGUAGGGAAUCUUCCACAAUGGGCGAAAGCCUGAUGGAGCAACGCCGCGUGGGUGAAGAAGGUCUUCGGAUCGUAAAACCCUGUUGUUAGAGAAGAAAGUGCGUGAGAGUAACUGUUCACGUUUCGACGGUAUCUAACAAGAAAGCCACGGCUAACUACGUGCCAGCAGCCGCGGUAAUACGUAGGUGGCAAGCGUUAUCCGGAUUUAUUGGGCGUAAAGGGAACGCGGGCGGUCUUUUAAGUCUGAUGUGAAAGGCUUCGGCUUAACCGGAGUAGUGCAUUGGAAACUGGGAGACUUGAGUGCAGAAGAGGAGAGUGGAACUCCAUGUGUAGCGGUGAAAUGCGUAGAUAUAUGGAAGAACACCAGUGGCGAAAGCGGCUCUCUGGUCUGUAACUGACGCUGAGGUUCGAAAGCGUGGGUAGCAAACAGGAUUAGAUACCCCAGUAGUC
rnacentral:rRNA from 1 species